ACGCUCGACACCUACGGGAGGCAGCAGUAGGGAAUCUUCCACAAUGGACGCAAGUCUGAUGGAGCAACGCCGCGUGAGUGAAGAAGGUCUUCGGAUCGUAAAACUCUGUUGUUAGAGAAGAACACGAGUGAGAGUAACUGUUCAUUCGAUGACGGUAUCUAACCAGCAAGUCACGGCUAACUACGUGCCCAACAGCCGCGGUAAUCUGAGCGGGCUGGCAAGGC
rnacentral:rRNA from 1 species